UGGUGCUCAGAAAAUUGCGAGCAUUCUUACAGGUGCUUGCUCUUCUUCAGAUCUUUUAUACCACAGGCUUUCCUUUCUUCUUCACAUUUUUACCGCUUCUCCUCCAAAUUUCGUGUGAUUAAGUAGGAUUUCUGAAAUUACUUCUCAAAAGAAAACCGCGAGUUCUCAAAACCUCACCGCCCUCUUUUUCGAAACAUAAUCACUUCUCAAAAUUCUCACUCUGGUAAACAGUUCUCGGCGGCGAGAUUCGACCGGUCGGGUGGCGUUUAAGCAUUUCAUUUGUUGGAGAAGAUCCUCGAGCCGAGAUCGGUGAGGGGCCAGAGUAAGGGUUUUUAUGUCUCUUUAGCAACAUUUGAAGUGAGCAUCACCCAAAAUUUUCACUGCAUAUAAGAUUGUAUACCACUGAGUAAAGGCAUAACCCCAUUCUGAAACCCUCUCCAUCUAAUCUUCAGCUCACAAUUUCAGUUCAAAGGACUUGUCCCAAUUGUGGCUGGUUCAGGUACAAGGAGAUGAUUUAAUUAAGCAAAGAGAGCUAUAGUACAUGAAACUACUUGAGCAAUGAUGCAUUGGUGGUGUGUGAGGGAGUUACUUGAUCAUAUGGAGCAAAUCAAGGAUAUGAUAGCUAAGCUAGAAGAUAAUAGAGCUGGAGAACGGGUUGCUGUAGAUACGAGGAAGAAAAAUCCUGCUGACUUUGCUAUGUGGAAGGCUGCAAAGCCUGGGGAGCCACAAUGGGACAGCCCCUGGGGUCCUGGAAGACCAGGAUGGCACAUUGAAUGCAGUGCCAUGAGUGCAAGAUUAGAAUACAAAUUCUGUUUGGAACUGUAAAUUUUGAAUGCAAGAUUGGAACUGCAGUGAAGCGGGAGGAAAGUUGCAAUGGUGCGGAAGGAAGCGGCUAAGAGGGAGCAACAAAUGGAAGAGCGAAUGAUGCGGCUUUUUGAUGAAAAACUCGGACAAAUGAAAAAUGUGUAGUUUAGUUUGAUUUUGUUAGAUAAUUUUAUAUUUUGUAAAACAAUCUUACUUAUUUAAUGUUAUUUGAAUUUUGCUUA